rnacentral:tRNA from 1 species
ACUUAGGAUAACUUUAAACCAAGGACCUUCAAAGCCCAAAAUAGGGGGAACCCCCUAGUUUCUGAAUCAAGACUUG